GAUGAACGCUAGCUACAGGCUUAACACAUGCAAGUCGAGGGGCAGCAUGACCUAGCAAUAGGUUGAUGGCGACCGGCGCACGGGUGAGUAACACGUAUCCAACCUGCCGAUUAUUCCGGGAUAGCCUUUCGAAAGAAAGAUUAAUACUGGAUAGCAUAACGAGAAGGCAUCUUCUUGUUAUUAAAGAAUUUCGAUAAUCGAUGGGGAUGCGUUCCAUUAGUUUGUUGGCGGGGUAACGGCCCACCAAGACAUCGAUGGAUAGGGGUUCUGAGAGGAAGGUCCCCCACAUUGGAACUGAGACACGGUCCAAACUCCUACGGGAGGCAGCAGUGAGGAAUAUUGGUCAAUGGACGAGAGUCUGAACCAGCCAAGUAGCGUGAAGGAGGACUGCCCUAUGGGUUGUAAACUUCUUUUAUAUGGGAAUAAAGUGGGCCACGUGUGGCUUUUUGUAUGUACCAUACGAAUAAGGAUCGGCUAACUCCGUG
rnacentral:rRNA from 1 species